GACGAACGCUGGCGGCGUGCUUAACACAUGCAAGUCGAGCGGUAAGGCCCUUUCGGGGGUACACGAGCGGCGAACGGGUGAGUAACACGUGGGUGACCUGCCCUCAGCUCUGGGAUAAGCCUGGGAAACCGGGUCUAAUACUGGAUAUGACUCCAUGACGCAUGUUGUGGGGUGGAAAGCCUUGUGCGGCUGAGGAUGGGCCCGCGGCCUAUCAGCUUGUUGGUGGGGNGAUGGCCUACCAAGGCGACGACGGGUAGCCGGCCUGAGAGGGCGACCGGCCACACUGGGACUGAGACACGGCCCAGACUCCUACGGGAGGCAGCAGUGGGGAAUCUUGCGCAAUGGGCGAAAGCCUGACGCAGCGACGCCGCGUGAGGGAUGAC
rnacentral:rRNA from 1 species